rnacentral:misc_RNA from 1 species
AUUUCUUCGAGCGCCAGCUUUUUUCUGAAAAGCUUGACGGAUCGGUACUGAGGGUUUUUGCCAUUUGCACUGGCUCCCUCUAAAUACAUCAGCUGGACUGCACAUGCUAGAGGAAGGAUAUACGUCCCUCUCCCUCCGGAUUUUGAUAAUUAUCAAAAGUACGGACGUGAUGGAAACUUCUUGUCUCGACCAUGGUGGCUGGCUUUAACCCACCCCUGGAAAUCGUUUUCCCAUGGGGAUCUAAUUC